rnacentral:misc_RNA from 1 species
AAAUAAAAAGGGCGGAAGACAUGUGAUAGUAAUACAUAGGCUUCAAAAUUUGAGCAAGAAAGUGCGAAUUUCCAUGGGUCCUAACUCAACAACAAAAGUUGAACUAUCGACAGGACCACCUCUAACUGGUGAGGAUUGAUCUCCAUUCUCACCCUCUACUUUCCAUGUCAUCCUCUUCAUCUCUGACUUGUAUUGGUUUGCUGAUAAGCUCAUUUCCUUCAGCUCCCUUAUCGUUUUUCCAGUAAACAUCUUCUUGAGUUCAACUUUAGCCAGUGCUGAAUAGUUGGCAUCUUCUCCCUCCUCAUAUAGAUGUGCCAGACGAAGGAGUACACUUCCAUCAUCCAGCUCCUGAAGGGUAAUCAAAGCAACAUUCGAAGGCAAGCUAUAAUCGGAGUCCAUGACAGUUCCUUUGGUCAAAUGAGAUGCCUUCCAAGUCUCCUCUUUCUCAUGGGUGAAAGCUAAAAGAAGUGGUGAAUAAACUUCUUGGCCAAUUGUUCGACGCCAGACUGAUCCAGCUCCUAGCUGGUUGAUGCACAGAUAAUACUUUCCUCUAACCGUUAGUCCCUCACAUACAUUUUCAACACAAACACUUUCAUCAAGGGCUUCACCAACUCCUCUCAAGUCAUCAAGGAUUGUACGCCUAUGAAGCAUUAGCUCUACUUGACCAUCUUCAAUGCUGGCUCCUCCGGUGGCACGAUCAACCAAGACUGAAAAUUCAUAUUUAUUAUCCGUUAUAUAAAUUCCGAGGUUGAGUGGAUAAUAGUUUCCUGCUUGAGGUUGAUUAACUGAUAGAUUCCAGUCAGCUCUAUAGUCACGAAUCCGCUUUAGAAAGUCCCUUCCAUUAGAAUCAGUAUAGAAAACCUUGUCCGUGACCAUGUUUGCUGUCAUUCGUGUGAUGACCUCUUUUCCAAGACUAUCUUCUGUGGGAAUCGGACCGAUUGUAUAUUCAAUUUCAGCAUGCUCUUUAUCUUUGUAAAGUCUUGUGACCUGGUAGAUCCAUGAAUUAAAUUGUUGAUGGACCUCAUCAACUACAGAUCCACGAUAGACCUUCAAGGGCACUGAUCUAGCAACAAUAUUGGGUGGGGCCCCAUUAGGCCGAAAAAUGUAUGCACCAGAAGGUUGCUGGGGAUCAGAGCUCGAACCAUACCAAAGAUAGCUUUGCUGAAGAGGUACAUCAACACCAGUUUUAGAAUUGUGUAUUCGUUUGAGUUGGCCAGUAGUAGAGGAAAAGGACAUUUUCAAAUUUCCAGGUCCAAUUUCAAUGGUAUCAUUCUGUGGACUUCCUGUUACAGAGAGCCCAUUUCUCCUUUUUCCUAUCCCAGGCGCAUUAGCAAUGAAGUAAGUACUCCACCCAAGUGGUGGCACAGACACUGGAAAGACAAGCCAGUAUUGAGGAACUUGAUUGGAUGACAGUCCUAAGUAGGCCUUCAAAUAGAAGUUUCUUAAGUUGCUUGUAACAUUAUCCAUGGUCACAUAUUGAGACUCAAUGGUUUUGCCCGAGGAAUCAGAAACAACAAGAUUGGCAUCAUUAACUGGUAUCCUAACAAUUUCCGUGCGGUUCCAUCCAAGAGGGUUGUACGCUACUAUAACCAAACUCUUUCCAUCUCCAGCUUCCUCUGUUGGCGGACAGUAACUGAUAUUUAACAAUUGGCACUGGCUAAAGGUCAAUACAGUUGCUGCACAUUGAUCUCUGGAUUUAUUGCUAACCAAGCAUGAAAGAGCAGAACUUCCAGUGGCUUCCGCCUCAGAUGCUCCAAUAGCUAGGCGUUUUGCAUAGUCAUUUGUAGUAUGUUGUUUAGCAGUUCCAGUGACAGCAUCAUGGUGCUGUGCUAUUCCUAAAGCAUCUCCAAGGCUAUAAGUGCUGGGACCAGUGGAUUUUUUCCCAACAAAGAAUUCAAGUUGCCGUGUAGCCAAAUAAUAUCCACUCAGCUGCCUAACAUAUCGCUUCAGGCCUGGGCGACUAGUAAAAAAUCCAGUCCAAUAGGCAUUUUCCCCAUCUGCAUACGGAAAAUAAUCAUCAGUUUUCAGUGGCCAUGAUUCAUUUGCUGCAUUUUUCACAUCAGUGUAAAUAGAUGGUGUAGAGUAUAAUGCAUUCACUCGACCAUCCUUGUUAACAUAGUGAAUCAGUUUGUCCAUUUGCUUGAAC